CACCCAGGCGCCCCUACUUUUUAAAUCUUAGAGUAGCUUUUCCAUUGUUAUUUCUCAAGAUUGUCUAAAAUCUAUACAUAAAAAAUCAAAUUAUCCAGAAGCUACCCAUCUGACAGUGUUGUAAUGAAGACCAAACACAGCAAAGCAAGGACUAAAACCCAUCCUCAGUGUUCCUCCUCAACCACCACUGGGGGGGCUUCCCAUGAAUGUCAGCAAGACACAGGAUAUAUUUUAUGACUUCAUGACUCAGUAGAGUGCCAUAAUGUAUGCCAAAGACAUUCCUCUGUUUACACAACACGCAUGCACACACACACACACACACACGAAUACACAGUGUCUACCACAUGCACAGCUCUGUCCCACGUGGUAGAAAGGCAACCAUAAAUCUAGGGUAAUAAACGUAUAUAGCUUUUGAUGAAAUGUGGAAAGUCUGAGUUAAACCGGAUAAAUUUGGAAAAUAUAGCCAUCUGUUGUGACGUUGUGCUCAUAUUCAUAGGAAUAUCGUAUAACUGUAUUUCUUUUCCUUCUACGGUAUUUGUUCUUGCAGUUGCCCAGCCAGUCAGGAACAAGGAAGGAUUUAACAGCUAUUAUUUGUGGUCAGCAGUGCUAGCUGCCUUCUCAGGAUCCUUUCUCUUGUUCUUCCCAAUUAGGAGAAACCAGUUAAAUGUUCUCAGGUAAAAUCACUUUACCAGAUGCACUGGCAAUUAGGAACGGUCACGUGACUGUUCUGGCGAAUGAAAAGCCAGUAGAAAGCAUACGGUGCCUCUGAAUGUUUUGUGGAGGAAGAAGCUUGCCUGGCGUUUAUCCUUUGCCGCUUUUCCCUUUCGGGCAGAGCAGCACCUCUUACAGCCAUGAGAACAAAAGUUACAUGCCAAAAAGGGACCAGAAGAAAAGAGAUAGAACCCGGUUCCAUGAGCAGCUACACAGGCCUUGGACUCUCCCCCCAAAUUAUGUCUGGCUGACAUUCGUUCCUGGAGAUUGUGCUGAUAGAAACCAUCACCAUAGAAGUGGCUCUACCCACUCUACCUGCCAUUACAUCUUCUUACUGUAAGUGCACCCCUCCAGAUGGAUCUCACAAGUUUAGCAUCUGUCUCCCCCAGCUAGACUGUGGGCUCUCUAAGGGCAGGAUGCUGGCCAUUUCAUGCAUUCACUACGGAAUCCCCAGAACUUGGAUCGGCACCUGGCACAUUGCCUCAAUUAUGACCCAGGAAAUCAGCCUCUGGCCUAAAUGGGAACAGCAAGCAGAACAAGCCAAUUGCCACCGGCAGCCUAUUCCAUUUGAAAACAGUAGCAUCAACUGCAGAUUGGUGAAAAUCCGGCUGCAAGUUCCCAUCUGCCUUCAGGUACAAAAAGAGGUAAAAGAGGCACUUUGAUUUUCAAAGAAGAGGUGUUCGCGCUUAAUUAGAAGUCAGUGAAAUCCAGGGAGACUCUGUAAUUAUUUUAAAGACCCCUUGUGUGAAAUCUGCAGUACCCUUGUGAAAUAUGCCACUGUCACAGCUGCCCUCUGAUGAGGCUUGGGUUCCAAUCUGUGCCUCUCCAGCAGUCUGUGCGACCAUCGCUGCCAGGUGGCAUCAGCCUUCUCACAGCGUCCUCCUCCUGUCUGCCAUGAGGGAAUAAAGCCGCAUCUCCCUGGGAAGCUUCUACUGGUGGCUCAGAAGAAAUCUGUCUGCGGAGAAGAGAUGGCAAGCGUCCUUGGAAAUGUGAAUUAUUGCUGUCAUCAGCACAUUGCCUCCCCUUUGUAUUGAACCUUUGACAUUGAAACAGUUUGCUGCUACGUAGUUUCGAUGUGUGUCGUUUGCCUUGGGCUUGCUGAACUAUGGAGCUUCAGAGCUAGUUGUAUGUGGCUUUGUGGGAAGCCGAAAAAUCUUCGGAGACUGCGUGGAAAGGAAACCGGCAAACUGAUACUCAGGGAAGUUGCCUGAAAUGUUUGCAGUUACCAAUUUAUUAUUUAUUUUAAGAACGUACCCCCAGAAAUAACUAUUCUAACUGAACUGGCGCUAAAAUGAAAAAAACAAAAAAUUGACAUCUUUGCUACUCCAGAGACAAGUAGACAAUCCUAUCUAUGCUUUACCCUUGGGGGUAAGCAUAUCCUCAAAGAAAGAAAAAAGAAAGCAAAGGAAAGGAAAGGAAAAUGCUGAGAGCAUCUGUUUGCUUCGGCCUGCAUCUUCUGUGCUCCAGGGACAGUGUGGCAAUUGUGCUGACAAAACAGAGUUUAUGGACGUAAGUCAUUUGUGCCAAUAUAGCUUCUGCAUAAAGCUGUGGGUGCAGUUGGUGACUGAGAAACCAGCCAUUUUGCAAGAAGACAUGUUUUCACCUUCAGAAGAUCCUCAAAGAUUUUCCCUCAACCUUUCACUAUUAAAUAAUCCAUAUUUGGCUGUUUUUUCUUCCUAGACCAUCGGAAAGACCUUGAGGCGAUCCUUGAUCAAUUUAUAUCCCAAUGUCGUAUGACAUCGAGGAAGAAAUUUUGAACUGCUCCAAAAAUCACUUUUGAAGGAAUUACCUAUGAUGGUAAGCAUUUAUAAAGCAGAGUAAAUACAUAAGGUUUCUACCUACAUUAGUGCUCCCUAGCCAUCAUAUGUGACCAUUAGGGAAAUACAGUACUCACAAAAAACAAACAAACAAACAAACAAACAAACAAAUAACCUUAAUCCUUUGGAAGAAAGUUUAAGCAGCCAAGUCAUAAAGUCAUUUUUCUACCGGUGGCUCUGCAUCAACCCUCCCAAAACAACAUUAUUUUUGGGGGUUUUUUUUCCAAAUAUUUUCUUUCUUUGACUUGAGGUUUUUUUUUUUAAUAUGAUGGAGAAAGAAAUGUAAUCCAAGUGCAAGAUAAUAGAGAAUAAUUCAUUUCCAUGACUGUGCUUUGUUUUCCUUUUCACAUCUGUGACAAUCAGUCUUCAAUACGUACAGUGCACUUAACUCAUAGAACUGAUCUUUCUCUGCAGGGCUGGGACUGAGGGGAAGGUGAAAACGCACAGAGACAAGCACUCUCAGGGCCCUGCCGGGGCCCUUGAACUUUGCUCCCUUCCUGCCUUCCUUGCUUCCCCUGAGCCCCAGCCUGAUGGGUCCCAGUCCCAUAGAAUUGACAGUCAAUCUGCUAAACUCACAUUCAAGUAGCUGUUAUUUUGUCUAAUCACAACCGUCAGGUGACAGUUAAUUCCUCGCUCUCCAUUCCGGUGAAAGAUAAUGAUAAUGGGAGGGCUCUCUUCUCAAAUUCUAACUACAAAGAAUUAUGCAAAUACUUUCUAUCCUAUAUGGGCAGAAAACUCAGGCCAUUUAUGGGGUGCCUGGGUGGCUCCGUCAGUUAAGCGUCCUCCUCUUGACCUCUGCUCAGGUCGUGAUCUCACAGUUUCUGAGUUUA